AUUGAACGCUGGCGGCAGGCUUAACACAUGCAAGUCGAGCGGUAACAGAGAGAAGCUUGCUUCUCUGCUGACGAGCGGCGGACGGGUGAGUAAUGCCUAGGAAUCUGCCUAGUAGUGGGGGAUAACUUGCCGAAAGGUAAGCUAAUACCGCAUACGUCCUACGGGAGAAAGGAGGGGACCUUCGGGCCUUUCGCUAUUAGAUGAGCCUAGGUCGGAUUAGUUAGUUGGUGAGGUAAUGGCUCACCAAGACCGCGAUCCGUAACUGGUCUGAGAGGAUGAUCAGUCACACUGGAACUGAGACACGGUCCAGGAUCCUACGGGAGGCAGCAGUGGGGAAUAUUGGACAAUGGGGGGGAACCCUGAUCCAGCCAUGCCGCGUGUGUGAAGAAGGUCUUAGGAUUGUAAAGCACUUUAAGUUGGGAGGAAGAGCAGUUAACUAAUAUUUGACUGUUUUGACGUUACCGACAGAAUAAGCACCGGCUAACUUCGUG
rnacentral:rRNA from 1 species